UUUAAACAGGACCGGAAAUGUCGAAUCGGAAGCUGCGAAGCGGGAGGCAACUUCAGCGUCGUCUCCUGUCACGAGAUCUGUAAAUUGAAGCCACUUGGAAGAACGCCAGGAUUUCGUUCAAGAAUGAAGGGCCCUGCUGGAACUUUACGAAAGGGAGUGGCAGUGUUGUCGGACUGAACUACAAUAAACAGUGGAGCACAAUUCAGAAGGAGGCACAGCAUCGGGAGCAGGCGAAGCUGAAGAUAGAUGUGGAGCUCGCAUUGUUUCUGCUGGGCAGAUAUGACUUCAUCAUUGUACAUUCAAUGAGAGACUGAUGACAAGACAGCAUGCAAACUUUCAACCAGACUGAUCAAGCAAUUGAGGAGUUGGAGAUGAACCAGCCUUGGAGGACUUCCCUGCUCCCUGAUGUUCCAGGGCCUCGUGAUACAGCCACAACUGGUCCUCAUGCUCUCUCACUGGUGCCUAGAUGGGCCACACCCCUUCAGCUCCAAUUGGUUCCUCGCUCCUGCGGCCAUGGGCUGCCCCUUAAUGCAGAGCCUCUCCCUUUUUCUCCACCACUUACAUUGUUCUGGUGGGGACUGUCCCUGCUCCCCUCUCUGCGGGGGCUUCUCCAAGUGCACCCACUCAGCCAGAGCCUACAGAUAGACAUCCCCUUGCUUGCUGCUGCUCCUUCCAAUCCAGGUCCACCAUGGUUUUGCCCCCCUGCACCAGGCUCACUGGUCCACUGUCCACUAUUCAGGAUUCACAUUACCUUAAUUAUACUUAAGAGUAAGCUGAUAGUUCAUUAGCUGCUGGCCCACCACUGUUUUGUGUCACUGGGCCGACCCAUCUCCAGGUGCACCAGGGGGUCGUUGUUCAAUUUCACUUCAGUUUCAUUUGUGUAGUGCUGUUUGCAGAGACCUCACAAGGACGUUUGCAGAUCAGUAAGGAAACAGAAACAGAGAAAACACCAAGCCUGAAUCCCCAAAUACUUUAUAUGGCCAAAGUACGUGGACACCUGACAUCCAUCAUCUCAUGAAAUAUUAUGGGAAUUAAUUUGGAGUCGGUACACUCCUUGCUGCUCUUACUACUUUGGCUCUUCUGGGAUGGCAGUAUACUAGAUGUUGGAGCAUUGCUGCAGGAAAUUGCUACUAUUCAGCCAGAAGAGCAUUAGUGAGGUCCGGCAAUUGAUUGGGCGAUUGAUUUAUGCUUGAUUUCAGUCUUUUAUCUCAAAUUUUACAGACAUUCAAAAUAAACUUUUUAAUUUACAAUCUAAAAAUAUACAGACUAAAUAUACAACUUAAG